AUUGAACGCUGGCGGAAUGCUUUACACAUGCAAGUCGAACGGUAGAGGGGGCAACCCCUCGAGAGUGGCGAACGGGUGAGUAAUAUAUCGGAACGUGCCCAGUCGUGGGGGAUAACGUAGCGAAAGUUACGCUAACACCGCAUACGAUCUAAGGAUGAAAGCGUGGGAUCGCAAGACCUCGCGCGAUUGGAGCGGCCGAUAUCAGAUUCGGUAGUUGGUGGGGUAAAGGCUCACCAAGCCAACGAUCUGUGGCUGGUCUGAGAGGACGACCAGCCACACUGGAACUGAGACACGGUCCAGACUCCUACGGGAGGCAGCAGUGGGGAAUUUUGGACAAUGGACGCAAGUCUGAUCCAGCCAUUCCGCGUGCAGGAUGAAGGCCCUCGGGUUGUAAACUGCUUUUGUACGGAACGAAAAGGUCUCUCUUAAUACGGGGGGCUCAUGACGGUACCGUAAGAAUAAGCACCGGCUAACUACGUGCCAGCCGCCGCGGUAA
rnacentral:rRNA from 1 species